rnacentral:rRNA from 1 species
CCUACGGGGGGCAGCAGUGGGGAAUAUUGGACAAUGGGGGGAACCCUGAUCCAGCCAUGCCGCGUGUGUGAAGAAGGCCCUCGGGUUGUAAAGCACUUUCAGUGAGGAAGAACGCCUGGUGGUUAAUACCCAUCAGGAAAGACAUCACUCACAGAAGAAGCACCGGCUAACUCCGUGCCAGCAGCCGCGGUAAUACGGAGGGUGCGAGUGUUAAUCGGAAUUACUGGGCGUAAAGCGCGCGUAGGUGGCUUGAUAAGCCGGUUGUGAAAGCCCCGGGCUCAACCUGGGAACGGCAUCCGGAACUGUCAAGCUAGAGUGCAGGAGAGGAAGGUAGAAUUCCCGGUGUAGCGGUGAAAUGCGUAGAGAUCGGGAGGAAUACCAGUGGCGAAGGCGGUCUUCUGGACUGACACUGACACUGAGGUGCGAAAGCGUGGGUAGCAAACAGGAUUAGAUACCCGGUAGUC